CCCACACAUAUGUGAUAAGCCUCUUACCAUGGGCUGGCCCAGGGAGCAGGAUGAGCUUAUCAUGGAACAUAAGAAAAAUAAAACAGAUGUCAGCCUGUGUAUGAAGAAUUCAUCCACAAGAUUUGAGCAGACCGAAGACUGUGAGACUUCCUCCCCACAGUGAGCUAAAAGGACGCUUUUGUCAGAGUGGGGAAAUAAAAGGGCUUUAUGGGAAGGAAGAUAAGAACAGAUGAGUCAGAGGUUUCUGCUUAAUGCUCACUCUUCAAUUCUUUCCCGAGCAAAACCAAGAAUCUUCUUGGGCUAAGCCCCAAUUUGGGGUUCACCUGCCUUGCAGCAACAUGGCACCAAACAUGCGGCAGAAGAGAGAAAACGACAGCAUGAGAGACGGAGAAAGAAAUGGCCAGUUGGCAAGGUGGUAAUGAGAGACAGCAGUUGGCAAGACAGUGAGAGACAGCAAGAGAUGGUGGUACAGCCAAGCAGACAGGCAAGUAAGUGGCCAUACUGCUACUGCCUCAUGUAGGAUCCGGCAGGCUGGUGGGUUAUCAGUCCUCACGUGGGACCCUCCCACCAUGGCAGCUGAGCACAUCCAAGCUGGGGGAUCCUGAAGAGACCUUCACCUGGGUGCCACGUGGAAGAUUGGCCAGCACCAUUUUGACUCCUGUGGAUGGUUCCAGGUAAAGACAAUCCUUGCACAAGGCUUCCAACUCGACCCGCCUACUGACCUGGAGAAUGAAAGUGUCCUGCCUCGGGGCCCCUCAGAUCAGCACCCAAACUGCACCUGGUCACCUGUCUACAUUCAGAUUUAGAUGAAAGCCACACCAUGGAGGCAGCCAGAGGCCCAUGGGAGAUGUCUGGAUUCGCAGAGGAAUAGCUCCAUGUGAUGCAAACCUUGACUAAUGGGAACAGGAAAAGGGAGGAAACCAGGAAGAUAAAUCUCCCUCCCUUCUCAUUGCUCCUUGCAACCCUUCCCACUUGAAGCAUGACCACAUUUAAUGAACAACCUGCUGUGUCUCUUGGAAGCUUGCUGCAAGGCAGCAAUCAGCACAAUAACAUUGUAUUGUAUCUUCCUCUGCUUCACUUCUCUUCCUCCCUCACCCUCACUGCCCUGAGCUGGCACAUCCCAAAGAAAGCAUUACCAC
rnacentral:lncRNA from 10 species